GGAAAAGUAGCUCAGUAGUAGAGAAUCUGCCUCACAUACAGAAGGUCCCAAGUUCAAUCCCUGGCAUCUCCA